CAGCCGCCGCGGGAAUACGAAGGUCCCGAGCGUUGUUCGGAAUCACUGGGCGUAAAGGGAGCGUAGGCGGCGUGGUAAGCCAGAUGUGAAAUCCCGGGGCUCAACCCCGGAACUGCAUCCGAUACUGCCAUGCUAGAGGAUUGGAGAGGUAGCUGGAAUUCUUGGUGUAGCAGUGAAAUGCGUGGAGAUCAAGAGGAACACUCGUGGCGAAAGCGAGCUACUGGACAAUAACUGACGCUGAGGCUCGAAGGCCAGGGUAGCGAAAGGGAUUAGAUACCCCAGUAGUCCCUGUCUCUUAUAC
rnacentral:rRNA from 1 species